GAAGGUCAGGCUGAAGACCUUACCCGAUUAGCUGAGAGGUGGUGCAUGGCCGUCGUCAGUUCGUACUGUGAAGCAUCCUGUUAAGUCAGGCAACGAGCGAGACCCACGUCCACAGUUGCCAGCAUACCCUCCGGGGUGAUGGGUACACUGUGGAGACCGCCGCUGCUAAAGCGGAGGAAGGAGUGGGCAACGGUAGGUCAGUAUGCCCCGAAUCUCCCGGGCUACACGCGGGCUACAAUGGUUGGUACAAUGGGCAUCUACCCCGAAAGGGGAAGGAAAUCUCUUAAAGCCAAUCGUAGUUCGGAUUGAGGGCUGCAACUCGCCCUCAUGAAGCUGGAAUCCGUAGUAAUCGCAUUUCAACAGAACGCGGUGAAUACGUCCCUGCUCCUU
rnacentral:rRNA from 1 species